GAGAAAGUUCCUGAUCUUUGAAAGUGCAGUAACUAUAUUUCCACAGGAAAGGCCAAGAGAAGCACAGAGAUGCCAGCCGUGGCAGUGCUGAGCACCAACCCCCACCCCCUUGCAGGUGGUUCAAAUGGGUAGCCGCUGACCGGGAAGAAGUUCAGGGCUGGGAGUCCACUGAGACGGGCCCUGACAGGGACUACGGCUGAAGAGGAACCCAGCCCAGGUGCUCCCUCAGGGAAGUGCUCCCCGCCUCCAGCCUCAGGCCUUGUUCUUGAUCCUCUUGACAGGCAGAGGUGAGGAAGGCUGACCCAGCAGGGAGGAACUGAGAGCCCCAGCAAGCUCCUGGGGCUCUGCGGGGACUUUUCCUGCUCUGGGGGCAGGCGGCCUGGGGGAAGUCCUUGAUCUUGAACCCAGACAGUUGGAGUCUGCAGGUGGCCCUGCUUUCAAAGUGAACUCCCCAUGAUUCUGGCCUUUCCAGCUGAGGAAGUCUGUGAGUCCAGGAGGCUUCCGGAAGGCUGCUCAGCACCUGUUCAACAAAGGCGCCAGCCCCCAGGAGCAGAGGGAAAUGGGCAAGUGCCCAGGGCUCUCGACCGGGCGGGAUCAGUCAAGCAUGGCAUCGAUAGUGGAACAAAGGAGGAGGGAAGGGCAAGAAGCAAACACUUAUGAUGGCUUUCCAGUGACUCCAGCUCUGUGCUGGGUGUCCUCAGAGUUCCCACCACCCCGAGAGGUUUCUCGGGGCAACCUGAACCAGGUUUGGUGAGGUGUAAUCUAGUUACGGCGAACUCCUACUGGAUCAAGGUGAGCCCUAAAUCCAGUGACUGGCGUCCUUAUAAGAAGAGGGAAAUUUGGGCACAGAGACACAAUGAAGACACACACACACAGAGAAGAAGGCCAUGCGAAGAUGGAGGCAGACGUGGAGUGAUGCAGCUACAAGCCAAGGAUGCCAAGGAUUGCCGGCCACCAACAACAGUUAGGGAGACGCCAGGAAGGAUUCUUCCCUAGAGUCUUUGGAGGGAGUGUGGCCCAGCCGAUACCUUGACUUAGGACUUCUGGCCUCCAGAACUGGGAGAGAAUGAAUUUUUGUUGUUUCAAGCCACCCAUGUGUGGCAAUAUGUUCUGGCGGCCCUAGGAAACUAACACAGCCCGGUUGCUCCACGGCUGAUUGGGCAAUCCCGGCAUGACCUGUGGGCUUGCGCAGUGGGACAGAGGGCUUCGUCCUUGACCCUAAUUUAUUUUAUUAUCCUCUUGGAUAAAAAUAAAGAGAGUGUCUGCCAAUCAAAUACGUGGAUUAUUCAAAACCUGGAGAGAUGGUGAGUACUGAAGACAGGCUCUAUAUUCAAAAACAUCUCAAUGAACUGCAAUAAUGGGUCACAUUUUAUAAACUGAAACUUAACUAGGACAAAGUUUUUAAUUUAGGUUCAAAGAACUAACUGCAUGAAUGUGGAAUGGGGAACCUCUGGCUUAAUGACAGCUCAUAUAAUAAAAGGUG